CCCGCCGGGGCUGCAAAGCAGCGCCUGAAUUCGGGCAUUAGCCCGAGAGGGACGGUGAUUCAUCCGCCCCACAGCGCUGCACGAAGGGGAAAAAACCGUACUACUGUUUGGCUGCGGAAUUUGUCAUAAAAUAGCCUGUGGGGUGGGAGAGUAGUGGAAAACGACCGUGACAUGAUUUCCAUUGCUGUGGAGAGAUGGGUUCUCUUAACUUUCCCCGAAACGGGCUGUGUUUUCAGUUUUUAUUGCAGCUUUGCCUCCGCUCACUGUUGAUGGAGUUAACCUCUUUAUACUCUUUCCACAUGUAUGUUUUUACAAGAUACAGCAGAAGUAGAGAAGGGGCCUUGACUCCAAGAGUAUCAGCACAGCAGUGAAUAGAGAUUACCGUCACCAAAUCAAAACAGGGGAGGCAGUGACAGCAUGGAAAGCUUGCACUAAUUUAAGCUGGUAUAAUAUUUCUGGUGCCUGCAAGGGAUGAUGCCCAGGGGAAGCCUUGUUGACUGGUCAGUGUCCCAGUGGAGAAGUGAAGAGCAUUAUUUGGUGUUUGGAUAACAUAUCUAUUCUCUCUGCUAGCCAAACACAUUGUGUGACAUGGACACAGAAGGCACCCAUCCAAGUGGCCCCACGAGCUGCCUGUGUUGUAAAGCUGUUUUCCUGCAGAGCAGCCAUCGGCUGGCAGCAGCUGGUGGGGGAGCUUGGCAGCAGGAGCUGUGGUGACCUCUCUGCUGUGGGGCUUGCACAAUGCCAUGGGAGCUCCUGGAACGGAUGGGAAUGAUGUACACAGGAGAUAUUCCUGGGGCCAUUACACAGUGCUGGAAGAGGCUGGAUUGCAGCGGUCCUAUUAAUGUCUUUCAUUCAUCUCCAGUGAAGUCAACAGUUGAAAGCAAUUUUAAGCACUUGGAUCAUACAGAAUAUAUAAAUACCUGUGUUCUGUCUAGCUGUAACAAUUCAAUGAUAAGUAUGACUCCCUGGUGAACGAACAGGAUAUCACAGGCUUAUUAUGUCUUCCAAAUGGGUCAGAGUUGAAUCUUUUACUGGAUUUCCACAUUAGUUUUCUCUUAACAGGUUAGAUUUUUCACUCGGAGAAGGUUAUUGUUGUAAUUCUCAGGGUCAUUAUCACAACAAAAACAUCACCAGAUCUUUUGAAGAUAAUUAAAACAAAUUUUUUAUUACCUGCAAUUUGGUUCUACAUUCUAACGAACACCUUUAUUUUUAUAUAUUUCAAUAUAGUUCAGGUUUAUGUAUUCUGUAUAUAUAGAUCCAGUAUCAAUUGAAUCAAUAUGUAU